GAGUUUGAUCCUGGCUCAGGAUGAACGCUGGCGGCGUGCCUAACACAUGCAAGUCGAGCGAUUUACUUCGGUAAAGAGCGGCGGACGGGUGAGUAACGCGUGGGUAACCUGCCUCAUACACAUGGAUAACAUGCCGAAAGGUAUGCUAAUACAGGAUAAUAUAAGAGAUUCACAUGGAUUUCUUAUCAAAGCUCCGGCGGUAUGAGAUGGACCCGCGUCUGAUUAGCUAGUUGGUAAGGUAAUGGCUUACCAAGGCGACGAUCAGUAGCCGACCUGAGAGGGUGAUCGGCCACAUUGGAACUGAGACACGGUCCAAACUCCUACGGGAGGCAGCAGUGGGGAAUAUUGCACAAUGGGCGAAAGCCUGAUGCAGCAACGCCGCGUGAGUGAUGAAGGCCUUCGGGUCGUAAAACUCUGUCCUCAAGGAAGAUAAUGACGGUACUUGAGGAGGAAGCCCCGGCUAACUACGUGCCAGCAGCCGCGGUAAUAC
rnacentral:rRNA from 1 species